UAAACCUUAGAUUUUCCCAGCCUACUUGAUUUAUGGUGUUACAGUUGAGUCACAUAGGUGAUAAGUUGGUGGUGGCACUGAGAUCAUACUCAGUGGAGGUAUUUGAAGUUAACAAUGUCAGAAGUAAGCAGCAAAAUAAAAGUUCUCAUUCCAUCUUCAGUUAAAGGCAGACAUGCUAGUAAAUUAAGUGUUAGAAUGGAUUACAUGAAAGUGUGCCCAGAACCAAACAAUCCCUAUGAUGGAAAGGCAUUCAAGGUUAUUGUGCAAGACAAUAUUUAUGGGAGAGUGCCACAAAUAAUUAAGGAUAUUUUUCACACAGUGGAAAUAUUAUCAGUCCAAAAAAAGUUUUAUUAUGAGAUUUUAUGCAAACCUACAGUACUGGAAGAUGUACACUGUGAGGGUGGUAGGUGAAGAAGAGGGGGAGGCCUAGAGCAGCCAUGCAUUUAUGAGGUGCACGGAGCUGCACCCGUUCUUGAAAAGAUGAUGAAAGAGCUGAGUGGGCAAAAUGUUCCUUACAAGACAGAAACCAUCUAAAUGAUGAUUGGAAACGAAAAACUUGUGCAUAC